rnacentral:lncRNA from 12 species
GAGUGUUCUCUUUUCCUCAGGAAACCAAACAGCUCCUGUUUGGAGCUGCAGCAUCCAGCUCUCCUGCUGGCAAUGUUGGGGCAGAGAUGCUGUCAUUGCUCGGGCACAACCAAAAUGCUCCUGGAGGUCACUGCUGCAAGGAGAGCACAGCAAAAGGGAGAUGUUUGUGGGAAAAUGGCUCAGACUGCAAUGGAUCUGGUGGUCAGCCAAUUUCUUCAGCUUGUCAGAUCAAUUUGCAUUCCAGCCUGUCCUCCAAUCUGACAGCAAUCUCUGCAGUAUCACAGAAUCUGUAGCUGUAGUAAGCAUAUUUUUUAUUUCAUCACUCAUCUCACAAAAUGGUAAAAAAGCCCAAUGUGUAUAAG